rnacentral:rRNA from 1 species
GACGAACGCUGGCGGCGUGCCUAAUACCUGCAAGUCGAACGCAGUGGGGACGGGUGAGUAACACGUGGGUAACCUACCAUCAGAGGGGAUAACACUUGGAAACAGGUGCUAAACCGAUACUGAUGGAUGGACCCGCGGUGCAUUAGCUAGUUGGUGAGGUAAAGGCUCAACAAGGCCACGAUGCAUAGCCGCCCUGAGAGGGGGAUCGGCCACACUGGUACUGAGACACGGUCCAGACUCCUACGGGAGGCAGCAGUGGGGAAUAUUGCACAAUGGGCGCAAGCCUGAUGCAGCCAUGCCGCGUGUGUGAAGAAGUCCUUCGGGUUGUAAAGCACUUUCAGCGGGGAGGCGUUACCCGCAGAAGAAGCACCGGCUAACUCCGUGCCAGCAGCCGCGGUAAUUC